UACGUAGGUGGCAAGCGUUGUCCGGAAUUAUUGGGCGUAAAGCGCGCGCAGGCGGUUUCUUAAGUCUGAUGUGAAAGCCCACGGCUUAACCGUGGAAGGUCAUUGGAAACUGGGGGACUUGAGUGCAGAAGAGAAGAGCGGAAUUCCACGUGUAGCGGUGAAAUGCGUAGAGAUGUGGAGGAACACCAGUGGCGAAGGCGGCUCUUUGGUCUGUAACUGACGCUGAGGCGCGAAAGCGUGGGGAGCGAACAGG
rnacentral:rRNA from 1 species